GGUGGUUCUACCGCUGGCCCUAACUAUGAUUUUUAUAGGGUAGUGUUGCGGGCAGUGCUACCGCCUUUAAGCAAUGUCUACUAGUGCUACCGCUAGUCCAACGGUGCCAUCGUUGGUGCAUUGCUUUUUGCUCAAGUUAUCGUUGUUGGCUUUUAUUUUCUAGCAUUUUUGCUUUUUUUUUUAGACAAGCAAGAUCACAAUCUAGA
rnacentral:lncRNA from 1 species